CACGCUGUAAACGAUGUCGACUUGGAGGUUGUUCCCUUGAGGAGUGGCUUCCGGAGCUAACGCGUUAAGUCGACCGCCUGGGGAGUACGGCCGCAAGGUUAAAACUCAAAUGAAUUGACGGGGGCCCGCACAAGCGGUGGAGCAUGUGGUUUAAUUCGAUGCAACGCGAAGAACCUUACCUACUCUUGACAUCCACGGAACUUAGCAGAGAUGCUUUGGUGCCUUCGGGAACCGUGAGACAGGUGC
rnacentral:rRNA from 1 species